UACGGAGGGGGCUAGCGUUGUUCGGAAUUACUGGGCGUAAAGCGCACGUAGGCGGUUACUCAAGUCAGAGGUGAAAGCCCGGAGCUCAACUCCGGAACUGCCUUUGAAACUAGGUGACUUGAAUCAUGGAGAGGCGGGUGGAAUUCCGAGUGUAGAGGUGAAAUUCGUAGAUAUUCGGAAGAACACCAGUGGCGAAGGCGGCCCGCUGGACAUGUAUUGACGCUGAGGUGCGAAAGCGUGGGGAGCAAACAGG
rnacentral:rRNA from 1 species